CUUAAAAAUGGCUGCCAACUUGUUCGCCAUGUGCUUUUGUUAUGGCUGGAGUUUUCCUGUUCAAAAAUGCUCACAAGAAAAGAUGCUCAAUUGUCAGUAGAUUGACACAGAGGUUUCUUGCUUCUCAGCUGUCUGGUCAUAUUGUUUAACUUUAGUCUGUCUUGAUCCCGCUUUCCUUCUUUCCUUCUGUCUUCUUGAGUCUUUCUCUUUCAURGUUCUCUUUUCCCAUUUCUUUUAAUCACCAACUCUCUUUUCUAAAUUCCUUAGCUUCUCAAUGCUCUUCAAAGUCCCUCUCUCAAUCUACAUCUUGUUUUCUACUUUUUUUCUUUUUCCUGCCUUUUCAUUCCCAACUACCUCUUCUUCCAAUUCUCUUCAUCCUAUUCUCGUCUCUGCUCUUCUAUUAAUUAAUACACCUCAACAUUUCUUCAUUAUAAUAUGGCAGAUUAUUGGGUAACAUUAUUGUACAAAAAUGAAAUAAAAGUACCCCUUGACCUCCCCCACCCCCUCAGGACACAACUGCUGUCUUGAGUACAAAUAACCCACCCCAAUGAACAGUGCUGCUUCAUUCUUUACUGUUGUUCAAGUUACUAAUUUGAUGUUUAAGGCUMUGUCCACACAAUGCACUAAACUUUGUAUCCUKAAGCUUUUUCUCAUAAUAAAAAAAAUGUUUGGGARUGCWRAUAUUCAAUUGAAAAUGUUUUCCAGAACUUCCAUUCAUUUCAUAAACAAUUCUGACAUUGUGUGGAUUUGGCUGUAAACAGGUAUGGAAACUGCACAUAUUUCUAUAGUUUGACAAGUUUACUGAUAACAGUUUUUUGGGGUUCAAAACCGGUUCCAUAUUGAGUAUUGCAGUUUCUAUUCUUGUUGACUGUGAUUUGCUUGAAUAUUUUGUCACUUGUCACACUCUCUGAGCUUAGUUCCUAUGAAAACAACUGCAAAAUUAUCAUUAUUAGGAAAGGAAAUGGUCCCUGGUAUAUAGAGACCUUAAGAUACACUGCAUAGGGUAACAAAGCCAUUCCUGUACUUGUAAACMAAUGACAAGUAGGUUAUAGYGUGCYGCAGAUUUAUAACAUUACAUUUGGGAUUCCAUGGACAUGUUUUGAACAAACUGCAACUAGAUUAAGAUUUUAACAGUGUAUCUUGAGGUCUUUAUUAUAAAGGCUUACCACACAGAUACAAUGAACUAUCAGAGUUAAUGCACUUAAUCCAUUAAAAGUACUACAACAAAUURCCAUUGAACUCUAUUGAAUUAUGUAAAUAUAUAUAGAUUAAGUGCAUUCACUUUAUAGUGUGAGCAGAGCAAGUUUUCUUCCCUUUCUCCUUUUAUCCAGUGAAGGGGAUGAAAACUUGCUCUGUUUUCAAUCUUACUGAGGAUGUUGUAAUAAUUUAUGUUAAUUAUGUAAAUUUAUGCAAAAUAAAAUACUAUGGAGGAUUA